GAUAAAGUCGCAUGGAUUGAGUUGUCAGGAAAAUAAACACGUUUGUCAUAUAAGAGAGGAGACCCAGUUUGCUUUCUAAUAUUGAUAAAUGGUACACUUAGCCAUUGGAGGGAACUCUACCUGACUAGUUACAUAAGAUGGAUAGAGGUUGGUCUAAGUACCUUAGUAAUGACACAAAAGAGAUUAAGAAUUCGAAGUUGCAUGGGAGUGAAAAGAUUUAUAGGUGUUGACCACUGAAGUCAUAGGAAGAGUAAA
rnacentral:misc_RNA from 1 species